rnacentral:ncRNA from 1 species
UUAUUACUUAAUAUACACAUGCAAGCAUCUACUCCCCUGUGAAAACGCCCUCUAACCCCCUCUUAGGAACCAGGAGCUGGUAUCAGGCACGACAAUCUGCCCAAAACACCUAGCUUUGCCACACCCACAAGGGAAUUCAGCAGUGAUUAACAUUGAAAAUAAGCGCAAGCUUGACUCAGUUAAAGUAAUCAGAGCCGGCCAAUCUGGUGCCAGCCGCCGCGGUUACACCACGUGACUCAAAUUGACCCCCCUUCCGGCGUAAAGCGUGAUUAAAGUUUCCCCACACUAGAACUAAACCGUAACCGAGCCGUGACACGCCUGUUUAUCGAGAAACCCAGAAACGAAAGUUACUCUAAUACAAUCAACUUGAAUUCACGACAGCUGGGAAACAAACUGGGAUUAGAUACCCCACUAUGCCCAGCCUUAAACCUUUAUUUACACCUCCCCAAUAAUCGCCUGGGAACUACGAGCCAAGCUUAAAACCCAAAGGACUUGACGGUACCCCAUAUCCACCUAGAGGAGCCUGUCCUAUGACCGAUAAUCCACGUUGAACCUCACCAUUUCUAGAUAUCAGCCUGUAUACCUCCGUCGUCAGCUUACCACGUGAGCGCCAAUUAGUGAGCCUAAUGUUACUUCACCAACACGUCAGGUCAAGGUGCAGCAAAUGAAAUGGGAAGAGAUGGGCUACACUUUCUACAUUAGAAUAUACGAAAAACUUUAUGAAACCCAGUUAGAAGGCGGAUUUAGCAGUAAAAAGGAAUCAGAAUGUCCAUUUUAACCAGGCACUGGGGUGUGUACACACCGCCCGUCACCCUCUUCAAGGCCGCAAGCAAAGUUCUUAACUAACCAAGGCACAAUAGAAGAGGCAAGUCGUAACAUGGUAAGUAUACCGGAAGGUGUGCUUGGAAA